ensembl:lncRNA
CCCCAUUCAAAAUGUGAAAAACCAUCUGCUAAAACGUUUAGCAUUGGCUGUGACUAAAGAUAAGAGCUGUCCAGGUCUUAGUCUCUAUGGAAAUAAAAGCUCUUGGCCACUAACACACACUUGGCCCUUGAACUUAGUGGCUUGUGUUUGGUCAGUGCAUGCGAGUGGACAUGUCAGCAGCAAUGCACCAGGUCAGAAGCUUGUCAGGACCCUGAGCCAGAACAGGUCACGCAGGCCAGGACUGGGCUUCAGUCCACUGACCCAAGAUGCGAAAGAUGAACAAAGAUGAGUGUAUGACCUGUCGUUGUGCUCCUGGCAUCAGCCUUUGUUUCUCUUCUUGAUAUUGUGAAAAGUUGUGGGGGUGAAUAUUGAACUGAGUCUUUUUUUGUUUUCUUUCUUUCUUCCAUCUAUAGCUCUGGAUUUGGCACAGUUAAAAUCAGAGGCUGACGACAGCAAAAAAGCCCUUCAAAUGGUAUUAUAUAGUAAUAAGUGCACAAAAAAAGUCAGAAACAUCCUUAUAUGCCCAUUGCAUUUGUUUUAUUUAAAACACUUUCAUUUCAUUUUAUUCCAGUUGACAGGUGAACAUGAGCAACUGAAAAUGCAGUUAAACCUUGAAAGAGAAAGUGGCAGAGAAAAGAUAAAACAGAUAAAAGAGGAAAUGGAGAAAGAAAUUGCAUGCAUUGAAGCCUCACGCAUGAAGGAGGUGAGCAUGAGACCCAGCUGAACGCAUGCUCAGAUACGGCACGGACUUGACAUGAGUCCUAUCUGUCUCAGGAUGUUUGGAGGUCUUGAACCCUUGACCAGUGGACGGUCUCUCCAUUACCCCAGACAUCAGUGUCCUAAAGCAAAGACAAAGGAUAAGAAAGCAGCCACUGACAAGACGUUUGAGAGGCAGAAACCAGCAGAAACUACAACCAUGGAGCUUGCUGGGGAUACAGAGUUGGUUCAAAAAAUCAAAGAACAUAGAAAGACUGAAGCAAUGCAGAAAAAGGAGAUUGAAAGGCUCAGUAAGCAGUUGUGCAUGUCCAAUCAGGUGUGGGAAAAGAAGUUUGAGAUUUUAAGACAGAGUUUCCAUGCCAUCAAGGACGAGAUGUUCUUACGGCAGACAUUGCGGCGGCAGGAAGCCAUUCUGCACAACGCCUCAGUCAGCUUUGCGGUCAGUCGCUUCUCUCAGUCGCUGUCCACUUUGAAUAAAUAUGCCCUUCCAUGAUAUUUACACCAAAACAUGUAUUUUUCUUCAUCAAAGCCGGUCUUACCACACUGAAAGAGGGCAGGAGCUUUAAUCAUGUAACCCUUAAUGAGAUCUGCACCUGUGGCCUGUCCCGCACACACACAGAGCACAUAUACAGUAGAGGUUAACCCAGAACAGACUUUAACAGGUGCACGCACAUUAAGCCCCUCAUCUCUGGCCUCAAUUUGUGAAGGCUGAUGAAUAUGCAUAAGUUUUGUUUUUGUUUUGCGCUGCACCCCACACCCCAUUUACAAGGAGGACAAACGCAACUUGUUGAGGCCUGCCUGUGCCGGAUGUCAUUUAUUACACAAAUAAUGCACAUGAAAAUAGCUUAGAACCUCUUAAAAAGGACAUAUACCCAAUAUUUGCCACUAUAUAUAUUGUAUUUGUAUCAUGUAUACUAACAUUCAAAAGUUUGGUGGGUGUUUUUUCAAAAAAAGUUCAACAAAAGCUCACCAAAACUGCAUCUAUUUGAUAAAAAAAAUACAGUAAAAACUGUAUAAUAUUGUGAAAUAUUAUUAUAAUUUAAAAUAACUGUUUUAAUAAGUUUUAAAAUGUAAUUUAUUCCUGUGAUGGCAAAGCUGAAUUUUGAGCAGCCAUUGCUUCACAUGAUCCUUCAGAAAUAUGAUUUAGUGCUCAAGUAAUAUCUCUUAUGAUUAUCAAUUAUGAUGGCUUUUUUAAGAUUCUUUGAUAAAUAGAAAUGCCACUAAUGCCACCAAUAUUUUUUUGUAACAAAUGUGUCCUUGCUGAAUAAAAGUAUUAAUAUUAUUUUUUUUUUUUUUAAA